UACGUAGGGGGCAAGCGUUGUCCGGAUUCAUUGGGCGUAAAGAGCGUGUAGGCGGUUUGGUAGGUCCGCUGUGAAAACUCGAGGCUCAACCUCGAGACGCCGGUGGAAACCAUCAGGCUAGAGUCCGGAAGAGGAGAGUGGAAUUCCUGGUGUAGCGGUGAAAUGCGCAGAUAUCAGGAAGAACACCCGUGGCUAAGGCGGCUCUCUAGUAGCGGUACUGACGCUGAGACGCGAAAGCGUGGGGAGCGAACAGG
rnacentral:rRNA from 1 species